rnacentral:rRNA from 1 species
ACGGGAGGCAGCAGUGGGGAAUAUUGGACAAUGGGGGAAACCCUGAUCCAGCGACGCCGCGUGAGUGAAGAAGUAUUUCGGUAUGUAAAGCUCUAUCAGCAAGGAAGAAAAUGACGGUACUUGACUAAGAAGCCCCGGCUAACUACGUGCCAGCAGCCGCGGUAAUACGUAGGGGGCAAGCGUUAUCCGGAUUUACUGGGUGUAAAGGGAGCGUAGACGGCCAAUUAAGUCUGAAGUGAAAGCCCGGGGCUCAACCGCGGGAUUGCUUUGGAAACUGGAUGGCUAGAGUGCAGGAGAGGUAAGUGGAAUUCCUAGUGUAGCGGUGAAAUGCGUAGAUAUUAGGAGGAACACCAGUGGCGAAGGCGGCUUACUGGACUGUAACUGACGUUGAGGCUCGAAAGCGUGGGGAGCAAACAGGAUUAGAUACCCUGGUA